rnacentral:lncRNA from 1 species
GCUCUCUCUUCUCAGGACAUCAAACAAUUUCGGCGACUACUAUCAAAGGUUAUUUUUGCUUCACUUAACACAAAUACAUAUUGAUUGAAUGUUUUGGGUAUGAUUUUCUUUCAUUUUGAUUUUUUUUGUUUUUGUGUAUAGUUACUAUUUUCAACAACGAUAGUUCUCUUUUCCUCACCGGCGAUGACUCCUCCACUCGACUGAGAAACCAC